rnacentral:pre_miRNA from 1 species
AAACUACUCCCUUUGUCCCAAAAUUCUUGUCUUAAAUUUGCCUAGAUACGGAUGUAUCUAAUACUAAAACAUAACUUGAUACAUCCGUAUUUAGAAAAAUCUAAGACAAAAAUUUUGAGACGGAGGGAGUACAAA